CAUGUACUCCCUCCGUCCAACCAAAGAUGUCUCAAGUUUGUCAAAAUUUGAAUGUAUCUAGACAUGAUUCAGUGUAUAGAUGCAUUCAAAUUUAAUCAAAGUUGAGACAUCCUUUGUUGGACGGAGGGAGUAUGAU
rfam:Brachypodium distachyon strain Bd21 chromosome 2, whole genome shotgun sequence.